GGGGAUCCGCGGAGGAGGAAGAUCAGAGACGCGGAGAGCACGAGCGCCAGGAAGUAAGAGAUCAACCGCAUUAUCGCCCAGCAUCCAAGAACCCUAAAAUUUACUUUAAACCCCUAUUAUUUUAGGGUUCUUGGGGGGCCAAGUUCUUGCGAUUUGAUGGAAAAAUGCGCGCUGGGAGCUGGGAGCUAGGACAAUGAUCCAGGUUAUACUUUCUUUCUAUCUUUUCUUUAUGUAGAUUUAUAAGCUCUUACAAUGGCAAUUCGGUGCCUCUAUGAGCUAAUAGAUUCAUUUGUUC
rnacentral:lncRNA from 1 species